GACGAACGCUGGCGGCGUGCUUAACACAUGCAAGUCGAACGGAAAGGCCCUGCUUUUGUGGGGUGCUCGAGUGGCGAACGGGUGAGUAACACGUGAGUAACCUGCCCUUGACUUUGGGAUAACUUCAGGCAACUGGGGCUAAUACCGGCUAGGUGCUCCUGCUGCAUGGUGGGGGUUGGAAAGUUUAGGCGGAUGGGGAUGGACUCGCGGGUUAUCAGCUUGUUGGUGGGGGAGUGGCUUACCAAGGCUUUGACGGGUAGCCGGCCUGAGAGGGUGACCGGCGACAUGGGGACUGAGAGACGGCGCAGACUCCUACGGGAGGCAGCAGUGGGGAAUAUUGCACAAUGGGCGGAAGCCUGAUGCAGCAACGCCGCGUGCGUGAUGACGGCCUUCGGGUUGUAAACCGCUUUCGCCUGUGACGAAGCGUGAGUGACGGUAAUGGGUAAAGAAGCACCGGCUAACUACGUG
rnacentral:rRNA from 1 species